rnacentral:misc_RNA from 1 species
CCAAUCCCUCUCCCACUGCAAGGCCCUGCAGCCAAUACAUUACUCAACAGCUCCUUAAACAAGGGCAACAAGCAACUCCUCACCGUCUCCUCAAUCACAACCGAAACAUUUAGACUGGUAUUAUUAUUAGUGAUGUUAUUAUUGUUACUAUCAUUAUUAACCACAAAAGCUUCACUUGAGACACGGUUAUCGUCAACUUUAACGCCGGAAGGAGCUGCAGCAGAUGGCCGGGAACGCGAACGUUUACGUGACCUGGGCGUGGGCUUCUGAUCCUCGAUUUUAACUUCACCAUCGUUGAAAUUAGGGUGGUUAGGGUUAGGGUUAGGGUUUCCUUCCUCAUCAUCCAA